rnacentral:rRNA from 1 species
AUGUCAGGAACGGAAAGCGAUCAUGUCCGUGAGCUAUGUACUAGAAUGGAUGUGGUAGGGCAAGGUCUUUUUAGAAUAAACGAAGACGGAGAAUCUUUGAUGAGGACUAAUCUUCCCAUUUUGUUGGCUAUAGUUUUCACCCCUGGCGUCUACAACGAAAUCAAUAUUGAAUACUCAUGGUCCCUUGAAGAUAUGUUAACUGUGCAAAAUCUUGACUGGUCUGGUGAAACCAUUGAGGUUUUAUUGGCCCAGGUUGAAUAUCGUAAUAUUUACUCUCUUUUCCAAUCGGUGAAACAGAUAAACGCCACAUCUGGAUUGGUGAAUAGCUUCUGUUGA